UACAGAGGGUGCGAGCGUUAAUCGGAAUUACUGGGCGUAAAGCGCGCGUAGGCGGCUUUGCAAGUCGAGUGUGAAAUCCCCAGGCUUAACCUGGGAACUGCAUUCGAGACUGCAUAGCUAGAGUAUGGGAGAGGGAAGUGGAAUUUCAGGUGUAGCGGUGAAAUGCGUAGAUAUCUGAAGGAACAUCAGUGGCGAAAGCGAACUUCCUGGACCAAUACUGACGCUCAUGUGCGAAAGCGUGGGGAGCAAACAGGG
rnacentral:rRNA from 1 species